GACGAACGCUGGCGGCGUGCUUAACACAUGCAAGUCGAACGGAAAGGCCCUGCUUUUGUGGGGUGCUCGAGUGGCGAACGGGUGAGUAACACGUGAGUAACCUGCCCUUGACUUUGGGAUAACUUCAGGAAACUGGUGCUAAUACCGGAUAGGAGCUCCUGCUGCAUGGUGGGGGGUGGAAAGUUUCGGCGGUUGGGGAUGGACUCGCGGCUUAUCAGCUUGUUGGUGGGGUAGUGGCUUACCAGGGCUUUGACGGGUAGCCGGCCUGAGAGGGUGACCGGCCACAUUGGGACUGAGAUACGGCCCAGACUACUACGGGAGGCAGCAGUGGGGAAUAGUGCACAAUGGGCGGAAGCCUGAUGCAGCAACGCAGCGUGCGGGAUGACGGCAUUCGGGUUGUAUACCGCUUUCGCCUGUGACGAAGCGUGAGUGACGGUAAUGGGUAAAGAAGCACCGGCUAACUACGUG
rnacentral:rRNA from 1 species